UGCUUACAGAGUUUUUGGACAGCCAAAUGGUCCGCAUUGUGCUCACUAUAAUCCAGUGGGACGUUGAUGAUAUCCUGCUGACAAGUUCCUCCAUAACACUAGUGUCAUCCUUUAUUCAACUCUUGAGCACAGAAUUCAAGAUGAAAGACUGGGGCAUAUUCAUCACUUUCUUGACAUUGAAAUAUCACAAACAUCGACUGGUCUACACUUGUCCCAAUCUCAUUAUGCUCUUACUAUCCUGGAAGAGACAAAAUGGUCGACUACAAGCCUAUGAGCACAUCUCUUGAAGCUAAAACCAAGACCUCAUCAAACAAUGUCUUGCUAGAAGAUUGAAGUUAUUACAUAGGACUGAUUGGAGCUUGACAGUACCUAACACUCACGAGACCAGAUCUCUCAUUCAAUGUGAAUUAUGCUUCACAUUUCAUGCAUGCCCCCACAAUUAUAUAUUUAAAAUUGUUCAGAGAAUCUUAAGAUAUGUCAAAGGCACAAUUGACUUGGGUAUGUAUUUUACUGCAAAUACAACACUUGAUCUUUGUGCUUUCUCCUAUGUCGAUUGAGCGGGGUGUCUCACCACAAAACAAUCCGCCAUAAGAUGAUGUAUACAUUUCUAGGAGAAAAUCUCAUCUCAUGGUGUGCAAACAAAUAGCCUAUGAUCUCUCGAUCAAGCACCAAAGUGGAAUAUCGAGCAAUGACAAAUACAGCAGUAGAACUCACAUGGAUGUCAUUUAUCCUUAAAGAUCUCCACAUUCCACUGGCAUCUACACCAACUCUCUACUGCAAUAACAUAAGUGCUCUUCACAUGACAAUAAAUCAGUGUUUCAUGCUCACAACAAACACAUCGAGUUGAAUUAUCAUUUUGUGCGCGAACAAGUUGCACUUAGACAUCUCAUCACUCAACAUAUCUCCACUAUAGAACAAGUAGCAGACCUCUUCAUCAAACCAAUAUCAAAGGCAGCAUUCAGUAAUUUUCGAACCGAACUCAGCCUCCAACCCCGGCACAAUUUGAGGGAGGGUAUUGGCACAACCUAGCAUCUUGGCAUGAAUUGUGGGACUCAAAGAUGUGAUAAGGAUGAACAUAACUAUCGAAGUGAUAAGGCUGAAAACUCCCACAAUCCAUGUUACAGUAGUGGAGAGACGUUAAAGGAUGAAGAUGUAUCGAUGGCAACAACUUCAACCCGAAAUGAUAGUUCAACCAGCUAAGGAAAUUUCAACGAAUUGAUUGAGCAAAUCUUGGAUUCAAAACAAGGCAUAUCUUGGAGCAUUCUGGAAAUCCUGGACUCAUAACAGAGCAUAUCUUGGAAUAUUAAUACAGCUUUAAUGUAAUUAGUAUUCCUGGAAAUCUUGCACUCAUCCUGGCAGAGCAUAUUGUAGAGAUUUAAUGUCUUUACCCCAGCCUGUUUGUGUUUAAAUAGAGGACGUGGUCCUUAGUAUAUGGUAUUGCAAAAGGAACUAAAGUAAAGUAUAAUUACUUCUUUAGCUGUGUUAACGAUUAGAAAAGGCAGACUUGCUCAUCCCAUUCUUCCUCCUGUUCUUCUAGUUCUUUUUUGUGCUCACUGUGAUCUGGUGGGAGGUUGGUAUGAGUUAAUCUUAUACUUCUUUUUGGAUGUUCUAGGUAUUAUUUACAGUAUGGGAAUUAAUAUUAAGUAUUCACAAGCAAAAAAAGAAGGUUGUGUAUAGAAAAGAUGUGUAGCUAACAGGAAUUGAAUGGUGAAAUGCUUCUUAUUACCAAGAUAGUUUUGCUGCCCUUUGUCAAAUGCUCUGUUUUAUUUCCCUUCUAUCCGUUCAUACUUCAUACAAAGCCCCUUGUAUGCAAAAAGUAACAAGUCAAUGAUCAUGCAAAUAGAGUUUUGCUGAAAAAAGCGGAAGCAUCGUGGUAUGAUCAUUUACACCAUGCAGGUUUAUCCACAAAUCUAAUGUGUACAGGAAUGGUUUGUAGCUUCCGUACUCGACUGCCCUGAGCAGCUGAAGAUGGUAGAGAUUCCACCUCAACAAAUCUGCCUCCCAUGGUACCUUUGCCCCAGGAUUUCUAUCUGCCUCUCAUGGUACCCUUGCCCUAGGAUUUCUUUUUGCAUGGUCAACAAGUUAUGGUUCACGGUUCACCUCCUAUCAGAUACUGAAGCAAAAGUAUCAAACUGCAGAUCUCUCGCAAGAAAGUCUUUACUUCCUCAGUUGUUUGUCAUCAUUCCUCUGCUUCACAAGAAUGAUCCUCUUCACCAAUAAGAAGCCUUGGCUUCAAUUAAAUUACGACUCAAAAGAGCUUAUAACCUCACUGUGUUUAAAUUGAGAGAAAUCGGUCUGAUGCUUU